CUGCAGGGUUGUGUGUGGUCCUUCAUCUUUGUCCUAGUGUCUUCCACUGUGCUCAUAAUCACAAUAUAUUGAGACCAGAGCGUGAUAACACAGAUAAAUGUUUGCUAACUGAACUACAGGCUUAAAAAUUAAAAUAUAUCAAAGCAACCUUUGCCCUUUGGCCCACAGCUACUUCAGAAGUCAGCAGCUCUGUGGUCUGGAGAUUUCAAAAAAUCUUGACAAACCCUGCCAAGAUACCCAGAACUGGAAAUAAUUUGGUGUUAUUGUGGUUUCUAGUCUGGAGCCCCUACCUACUUCUUUGAGUUUCAGCACCGUCCCAGUUCACACUGGGACAGCAAACCAGAGUAUGUGAAGGCUGACCACGGGGAUGAAGUUGGCUUUGUCUUUGGAGGACCCUUUCUGGCAGGAGAAAUUCAGCUGUGCAGUGAAGUUACAGAGGAAGAAAAGAACCUCAGUAGAACUCUGAUGAAGUACUGGGCUAACUUUGCUCGAAAUGGAAAUCCUAAUGGAGAGGGUUUGGUUGAAUGGCCAUCUUACAACCUAAAUGAAGAAUACUUGCAGAUAAAUCUAAAACAAAAGAAAGCCAGGAAGUUGAAAGAAGAGAAGGUGAAUUUCUGGAAAAAGCUGAUGCUGGAAAAGGCAAAUAACCAAAGAAUGGAAAACAAGAAGGUUAAUUCAGAGUUAUAAUUUACAGUCUAAACAUGCACACAAUAUGCAAGCUAUUAGGAUAGGAAAAGAAAUUACUUAAAGUUAUUUUGAGGAUAAAAUUCUGUUUCCCUUCUUUUUGUCUUUUCUUCACAGUUGUCAUACUUGAAAUUAUUCCUUGUAAUAACUCCAAUUGAUCCCUCACUUGUUAAAUACAACUACCACAUUUCCCCAGUGCUCAGGUUUUUCUGUCACUUCCUCAUGACUGAAGACAGAAUGUAGCAGCAACAUUGUUUUAAUAAAAUGAAAUCAAUGACGACCCAA